rnacentral:rRNA from 1 species
AGAGCUUGCUCUCGGGUGACGAGUGGCGGACGGGUGAGUAAUGUCUGGGAAACUGCCUGAUGGAGGGGGAUAACUACUGGAAACGGUAGCUAAUACCGCAUAACGUCGCAAGACCAAAGAGGGGGACCUUCGGGCCUCUUGCCAUCAGAUGUGCCCAGAUGGGAUUAGCUAGUAGGUGGGGUAACGGCUCACCUAGGCGACGAUCCCUAGCUGGUCUGAGAGGAUGACCAGCCACACUGGAACUGAGACACGGUCCAGACUCCUACGGGAGGCAGCAGUGGGGAAUAUUGCACAAUGGGCGCAAGCCUGAUGCAGCCAUGCCGCGUGUAUGAAGAAGGCCUUCGGGUUGUAAAGUACUUUCAGCGGGGAGGAAGGUGUUGUGGUUAAUAACCGCAGCAAUUGACGUUACCCGCAGAAGAAGCACCGGCUAACUCCGUGCCAGCAGCCGCGGUAAUACGGAGGGUGCAAGCGUUAAUCGGAAUUACUGGGCGUAAAGCGCACGCAGGCGGUCUGUCAAGUCGGAUGUGAAAUCCCCGGGCUCAACCUGGGAACUGCAUUCGAAACUGGCAGGCUAGAGUCUUGUAGAGGGGGGUAGAAUUCCAGGUGUAGCGGUGAAAUGCGUAGAGAUCUGGAGGAAUACCGGUGGCGAAGGCGGCCCCCUGGACAAAGACUGACGCUCAGGUGCGAAAGCGUGGGGAGCAAACAGGAUUAGAUACCCUG